UACGUAGGGGCAAGCGUUGUCCGGAUUUAUUGGGCGUAAAGAGCGUGUAGGCGGCCAGGUAGGUCCGUUGUGAAAACUGGAGGCUUAACCUCCAGCUGUCGAUGGAAACCAUCUGGCUAGAGUCCGGAAGAGGAGAGUGGAAUUCCUGGUGUAGCGGUGAAAUGCGCAGAUAUCAGGAAGAACACCCGUGGCGAAGGCGGCUCUCUGGGACGGUACUGACGCUGAGACGCGAAAGCUGGGGGAGCAAACGGG
rnacentral:rRNA from 1 species